GUCGAACGCUGGCGGCGUGCCUAAUACAUGCAAGUAGAACGCAGUUGCGAACGGGUGAGUAAAGCGUAGGUAACUGCCUCAUAGCGGGGGAUAACUAUUGGAAACGAUAGCUAAUACCCCAUACUGGGAGAUGGAACUGCGUUGUAUUAGCUUGUUGGUGAGGUAAAGGCUCACCAAGGCGACGGUACAUAGCCUGCCUGAGAGGGUGAACGACCAAACUUGGACUGAGACACGGCCCAGACCCCUACGGGAAGCAGCAGUAGGGAAUCUUCGGCAAUGGACGGAAGUCUGACCGAGCAACGCCGCGGGAGUGAAGAAGGUUUUCGGAUCGUAAAGCUCUGUUGUUAGAGAAGCGGUAACUAACGAGAAAGGGGCGGCUAACUACGUGCCAGCAGCCGCGGUAAUAC
rnacentral:rRNA from 1 species